rnacentral:rRNA from 1 species
UGGGGAAUAUUGCACAAUGGGGGAAACCCUGAUGCAGCGACGCCGCGUGAACGAAGAAGGUAUUCGUAUCGUAAAGUUCUGUCCUAUGGGAAGAUAAUGACAGUACCAUAGAAGAAAGCUCCGGCUAAAUACGUGCCAGCAGCCGCGGUAAUACGUAUGGAGCGAGCGUUGUCCGGAAUUAAUGGGCGUAAAGGGUACGCAGGCGGUUUAAUAAGUCGAAUGUUAAAGAUCGGGGCUCAACCCCGCAAAGCAUUGGAAACUGAUAAACUUGAGUAGUGGAGAGGAAAGUGGAAUUCCUAGUGUAGUGGUGAAAUACGUAGAUAUUAGGAGGAAUACCAGUAGCGAAGGCGACUUUCUGGACACAAACUGACGCUGAGGUACGAAAGCGUGGGGAGCAAACAGG